GAUGAACGCUAGCUACAGGCUUAACACAUGCAAGUCGAGGGGAAACGAUGAGAGAGCUUGCUCUCUUAGUCGUCGACCGGCGCACGGGUGAGUAACGCGUAUCCAACCUGCCUCUGACCAAGGGAUAACCCGUCGAAAGUCGGACUAAUACCUUAUGCAGUCGUCGGAAGUCAUCUGAUGACGACGAAAGAUUUCAUCGGUGAGAGAUGGGGAUGCGUCUGAUUAGCUUGUUGGCGGGGUAACGGCCCACCAAGGCGACGAUCAGUAGGGGUUCUGAGAGGAAGGUCCCCCACAUUGGAACUGAGACACGGUCCAAACUCCUACGGGAGGCAGCAGUGAGGAAGAUUGGUCAAGGGGCGUAAGCCUGAACCAGCCAAGUAGCGUGCAGGAUGACGGCCCUAUGGGUGGUAAACUGCUUUUAGGCGGGGAUAAAGUGAGGGACGUGUCCUUCAUUGCAGGUACCGCAUGAAUAAGGACCGGCUAAUUCCGUG
rnacentral:rRNA from 1 species